CCUACGGGAGGCAGCAGUGAGGAAUAUUGGUCAAUGGCCGGGAGGCUGAACCAGCCAAGUCGCGUGAGGGAAGACGGCCCUACGGGUUGUAAACCUCUUUUGUCAGGGAGCAAGGUGCAGGUCGGGACCUGCUGUGAGAGUACCUGAAGAAAAAGCAUCGGCUAACUCCGUGCCAGCAGCCGCGGUAAUACGGAGGAUGCGAGCGUUAUCCGGAUUUAUUGGGUUUAAGGGGUGCGCAGGCGGUGGCACAAGUCAGCGGUAAAAUCGCGGGGCUCAACCCCGCUCCGCAGUUGAAACUGUGUGCCUUGAGUGCGCGAAAGGUAGGCGGAAUGCGUGGUGUAGCGGUGAAAUGCAUAGAUAUCACGCAGAACUCCGAUCGCGAAGGCAGCCUACCGGCGCGCAACUGACGCUGAGGCACGAAAGCGUGGGUAUCGAACAGGAUUAGAUACCCCAGUAGUC
rnacentral:rRNA from 1 species